GCAAGCUCUUGAUUGAAGUCCCAGUAAACGGCGGCCGUAACUAUAACGGUCCUAAGGUAGCGAAAUUCCUUGUCGGGUAAGUUCCGACCUGCACGAAUGGCGUAACGAUGGCCACACUGUCUCCUCCCGAGACUCAGCGAAGUUGAAAUGUUUGUGAUGAUGCAAUCUACCCGCGGCUAGACGGAAAGACCCCAUGAACCUUUACUGUAGCUUUGCAUUGGACUUUGAACCAAUCUGUGUAGGAUAGGUGGGAGGCUUUGAAGCGGGGACGCUAGUUCUCGUGGAGCCGUCCUUGAAAUACCACCCUGGUUUGUUUGAGGUUCUAACCUUGGCCCGUUAUCCGGGUCGGGGACAGUGCAUGGUAGGCAGUUUGACUGGGGCGGUCUCCUCCCAAAGUGUAACGGAGGAGUUCGAAGGUACGCUAGGUACGGUCGGACAUCGUGCUAAUAGUGCAAUGGCAUAAGCGUGCUUAACUGCGAGACUGACAAGUCGAGCAGGUACGAAAGUAGGACAUAGUGAUCCGGUGGUUCUGUAUGGAAGGGCCAUCGCUCAACGGAUAAAAGGUACUCUGGGGAUAACAGGCUGAUUCCUCCCAAGAGUUCAUAUCGACGGGGGAGUUUGGCACCUCGAUGUCGGCUCAUCACAUCCUGGGGCUGUAGCCGGUCCCAAGGGUAUGGCUGUUCGCCAUUUAAAGUGGUACGUGAGCUGGGUUUAAAACGUCGUGAGACAGUUUGGUCCCUAUCUGCCGUGGGCGUUGGAAGUUUGAGGGGGGCUGCUCCUAGUACGAGAGGACCGGAGUGGACGAACCUCUGGUGUACCGGUUGUCACGCCAGUGGCAUCGCCGGGUAGCUAAGUUCGGAAGAGAUAACCGCUGAAAGCAUCUAAGCGGGAAACUUGCCUCAAGAUGAGACUUCCCGGGAACUUGAUUCCCCUAAAGGGUCGUUCGAGACCAGGACGUUGAUAGGCUGGGUGUGGAAGCGCAGUAAUGCGUUAAGCUAACCAGUACUAAUUGCCGAGCAAUAUCGUGAC
rnacentral:rRNA from 1 species